rnacentral:rRNA from 1 species
UUCUAACCGUAAACGAUGCAAACUAGCGAUCCGUUGGCGUUAAAAAUAUGACUCCACGGGCAGCUUCCGGGAAACCAAAGUGUUUCUGUUCCGGGGGAAGUAUGGUUGCAAAGCUGAAACUUAAAGGAAUUGACGGAAGGGCACCACCAGGAGUGGAGCCUGCGGCUUAAUUUGACUCAACGCGGGAAAUCUCACCCGGCCCUGACACUGUAAGGAUUGACAGAUUGAUAGCUCUUUCUUGAUUCGGUGGGUGGUGGUGCAUGGCCGUUCUUAGUUGGUGGAGCGAUUUGUCUGGUUAAUUCCGAUAACGAACGAGACUCUAGCCUACUAAAUAGUGAAUAAAUUCUUUGGUUUGUUAACUUCUUAGAGGGAUAAGUGGUGUUUAGCCACACGAGAUUGAGCAAUAACAGGUCUGUGAUGCCCUUAGAUGUUCGGGGCUGCACGCGCGCUACACUGAAGAAUAGAGCGUGUAUUGAAAGCCUUUUCCGGAAGGAAUGGGUAACCCUGUGAAACUUCUUCGUGCUUGGGAUAGGGAAUUGAAAUUAUUUCCCUUUAACGAGGAAUUCCUAGUAAGUGCGGGUCAUUAUCUCGCGUUG